GAUGAACGCUGGCGGCGUGCCUAAUACAUGCAAGUCGAGCGAACGGACGAGAAGCUUGCGUCUCUGAUGUUAGCGGCUGACGGGUGAGUAACACGUGGAUAACCUACCUAUAAGACUGGGAUAACUUCGGGAAACCGUAGCUAAUACUGGAUAAUAUUUUCAACGGCAUGGUUCAAAAGUGAAUGACGGCUUGGCCGUCUCUAUUAGAUGGAUCCGCGCUGCAUUAGCUAGUUGGUAAGGUAACGGCUUACCAAGGCAACGAUGCAUAGCUGACCUGAGAGGGUGAUCAGCCACACUGGAACUGAGACACGGUCCAGACUCCUACGGGAGGCAGCAGUAGGGAAUAUUGCGCAAUGGGCGAAAGCCUGACGGAGCAACGCCGCGUGAGUGAUGAAGGUCUUCGGAUCGUAAAGCUCUGUUAUUAGGGAAGAAAAGAUGUGUAAGUAACUGUGCACAUCUUGACGGUACCUAAUCAGAAAGCCCCGGCUAACUACGUG
rnacentral:rRNA from 1 species